CUGCUAUUAAAGCAAAACAGGAGGAUAUAUACUUUAGCCAUGAAAUUAGCGCAUAAUGUUAUCUAGCCAGUUGAACUUGCAUUGCUUUAGGGAAAUAUUAGCACACGUUUUCCACAAGUGGAUGUAGGCAGGAAAGAUUUAUAUUAGACAUCAGGAAUAAUGUCCUGACUUUCAGAAGAGUUGUGAGAAGCCAAAUAGUUUACCAAAGAAGGCUGUGGAAUUUACCUCCUGGAAAUUUUUAGCAGCAGACAUGAGACCCAUAUGUUUGAGACUAUUUCGGAGUCUUUGAAAUGAAUAGAAUGGUCUUAUUAAGAGUUUCCUAGUCCUUUUCUUUUGUAGCUUGCCUGAGAAGAGGUUAGACAUUCAGUCCACAAAGCCAGGCUUCUCUCCGACCUUCCCCUAUACAUUUCCGAAGACAGAGAAGAGGAAAAAGGAGGUAGAGUCUGGUAUGAGGGCACCAGGGAACAUUUCCUUACUUCACAAUUUGGUGAACUGAGUAGAACUGCCUGACAUCACACAGAGGGUAAACUUCUGCCUAGGGCCAUGGAAAAAGGCAAGAAGGUCCCGUGACCAAGAAAUGACCAGCUCCACAGAGGAAAUGCAGGGCCACUCUCCGACUGGACCCCACUGUGCACAAGGACCUUGUUCAGUGCCUGGAACAAAGUAGGUAUUCAAGAUACCUUUCACUUAUUCCUCAUAUAUUUGCUGGGUGUGGUUAAGCCCAGUAAAGAAGACAAGUCAUGCCUUCCAGGAGCUUCUAGCUCAGGGGAGAAAGUGAUUGAAGACCCAGUGUUCUAAACUGGGUGUGGCACCACAGUGAUGGGAAGUAGGGGAAGCCAAGGGGAAGCUGACUGACUGGUGGGCUCAACCAAGGUUUCCCGAGGAAGAGGUCAUCCAAAACCAUUCUUGAAGCUUCAGUAAGAGCCAAGCAAAGAGGGUGGGGAAAGCCUCACAAAGCGAGAAGGAUCAGGAAUGCACAAAGGCCCUGAAAUUAGAGAUAAGCACAAAGCCUGUUUCCAAGGAUUACAAAUCACCUGGAGAUUACUGGAGGACAAGAGAAAGGGGAGAAACAGCAAGACAGAAGGUGGCAAGGUAUCCGCUGUGAAGUCUAGAAGGACUGUGUACACCAUGGUAAAGUAUUUCUCUAUCCUGAUCUUUCUGGGGAGGGUUUAUGCAGAGGAGAGGCAAGACAAGGCAUAUAUUUGAGAAAGAGGAUCAUUAGCUGAAUUGUGGAGAACAGACUCGAAGAGGAUGCUACUGGUUGCAGGGAACAGGAAAGAAAACCAAGGAAGCAAUCACUAAAGCCAGUGGGAGGGAGGGUCUUGCCAUUAGAGAAGAGAAGGCCAUUUUGUAUACACAGCUGACGCUUGAACAACACAGGUUUGAACUGUGAGAGUCCACUUAUAUUUGGAAUUUUUUCAAUAAAAGUUACAUGGAGUGUGCCUGCCUCUCCUGCCUCCUCUUCCACCCCCGCCACCCUUGAGACAGCAAAACCAACCAUUCCUCUUCCUCCUCUUCC
rnacentral:lncRNA from 1 species